GAUGAAGAACGUAGCGAAAUGCGAUAAGUAAUGUGAAUUGCAGAAUUCAGUGAAUCAUCGAAUCUUUGAACGCACAUUGCGCCCGCCAGCAUUCUGGCGGGCAUGCCUGUUCGAGCGUCAUUUCAACCCUCGAGCCCCCCCGGGGGCCUCGGUGUUGGGGGACGGCACACCAGCCGCCCCCGAAAUGCAGUGGCGACCCCGCCGCAGCCUCCCCUGCGUAGUAGCACACACCUCGCACCGGAGCGCGGAGGCGGUCACGCCGUAAAACGCCCAACUUUCUUAGAGUUGACCUCGGAUCAGGUAGGAAUACCCUCUGAACUUAAGCAUAUCAAUAAGCGGAGGA
rnacentral:misc_RNA from 1 species